GUCGAGAAUCUUUCACAAUGGGGGAAACCCUGAUGGAGCGACGCCGCGUGGGGGAUGAAGGGCUUCGGCCUGUAAACCCCUGUCAUCUGCGAACAAACCUCUGAUGUGAAUAACAUCAGGGCUGAUUGUAGCGGAAGAGGAAGGGACGGCUAACUCUGUGCCAGCAGCCGCGGUAAUACAGAGGUCCCAAGCGUUGUUCGGAUUCACUGGGCGUAAAGGGUGCGUAGGUGGUAGGGCAAGUUUGAUGUGAAAGCUCCGAGCUUAACUCGGAAAUGGCAUUGAAUACUGCCUUGCUAGAGGAUUGGAGGGGGGACUGGAAUUCUCGGUGUAGCGGUGAAAUGCGUAGAUAUCGAGAGGAACACCAGUGGCGAAGGCGAGUCCCUGGACAAUACCUGACACUGAGGCACGAAAGCUAGGGGAGCAAACAGGAUUAGAUACCCGGGUAGUCC
rnacentral:rRNA from 1 species